ACCAAAGUUGCUCAGUCAGGAGAGCAUUAAACUGAAGAUCUAGAGGUCCCUGGUUCAAUCCCAGGCUUUGGCA